ensembl:lncRNA
AAAACACUGGCAGCUUUUCAUCCUCGAUAAGAAACAAAAAUACUUUUCUCUGCUUCAGAACGUCACAGUUCACAUCUGGGCUCCACUUCCUUCUCAUUACUGCUCCAAGGACGCAGUGAGAAACAGCCAAGGAGGAGAUAACAGCUAGCAGGUUAGCCGUUAGCAAAGGGAGGGUGCUGUUAUGACUGGUUCCAUUUCAGUUUGUAGUAAACUAUGUAACAGGUUACUGGUUAGAACAUGUGGCUGGUCAGCUGGGGAGCAGAUGUGAUGGAUCCACGGCAGCAACAUGGAAGCAAAUGUCAGGAAGGUGUGCUGGGGAAAAAGGCAGGGAUGACAGGACAAGACAGGAAGUGACGUUACCCAGGGAGACAAGAGGUAAGAAAUUACAAAAUAAAACCGUGACAGUGACAGCAAAGUCGUUGAGUUUCUUCUAAAAAGACGAAACCCAACGAACGAAUGAGACUAAAUCGAAGAGAUGAGGCAGUAAAACCCGACUCCUUCAGGCUCAGCUGGGAACCAUUACGUUCCAGUGGGUUACAGAAAUGUGCUUUCCCAGGUUUCAUGGCCCCGCCCACAGGAAGUGUUGAGGAACGUUACAAUCCGCCGCUGGAGGUUUUGAGGCGAAGAAGGAAAUCGAGCGGAGACGAAGUGGGAGAAGCUUUCUGCUGCAGAGUCCCGGUUUGGUCCCGCUUGGUGUUUCUGACAUGACCAGUUAUGUAACAAUGUUUCAGGCUUAAUGUGCACAUAGAAUGAAGCAAUGAAUAUUUCAUUCAGGCCAAAUUCAGACUUCAUGCUUUCACCACAUCUCGCCCCUCAUGGGUCACAUGUUCUCACAAUCAUCUAAAAAUACUGCAAAACACGUUGGAGAAGAGCCGGAGCAACGAUCAGAGUUCAGUGAAGUUACAAUCCGUUCAAAUCACCUUGUGAAGGUGUUGGGAACCCUGGUUCCUCCUCUGGAAUGAAGAGGAAGGUCUGUGAGGAACACUGUCCCUCAGCCUUUCCUUGACUCCUUUCCUUCCUUAACGCAAACGCCUGUCAGAUUAAAGGUUCCAGGCUUCACAUUUGGUAUUCUUGUAUUCUACUGCCAGAUCUUAACAUGUAAUUCAGUACUUUCCCACCGGGCUUCCCCCUUUCUGUUCACUAAUUAGUCUGAUUUCUUCAUCCGUCUCUGACUGAAGUGAAUAAAACUCUAAACUGCCAACUAGGAUUCCAUCGAUUGAGUCCUGUUAAAGUCGACAACACUUUACAUCCAAUUUACUUCAGUUUGAAGAGCGAGUUAUCAUGAGACUGAGAAUACAUUUCUCCACCCGAACAGGAUAAUUAGGAUGCUCGUGUGUGUGAGAGAUCAUUGGAAUCUGCUGCUGCAGCAUCGAUUACUUCUUCUAUUGAUGAAACUAAUCAGUUGGAGCUGGUUCUUCAUUUGUUAAUAUCAGAGGACCUUUAUCGGCUGCAUUAUCAGCUCCACCUGGCCGAUGCCGCCGUCUCAUUGGCUGGCCAUAACCCCGCCCCCAGCUGAAAUGAAUAAGGAAAGAGGAAGAAGACAGUGAGGAGGACGUUUGAAGGGUGCAUGUGGACGAGGAGGUGGAGGCUGCGAACUUUGAGAAGCACUAUGAAGGAACUCGUGGGGCAAAUCGGUAACUAUGACGACCUUCGUCAUCCGAUGCGUUUAUUCACCUUCACUUGCUUCUUCUCCUCUUAACGUUUAACAGGGUUUUGGUGGUUAAUGUGCAGUAGAAGAAUUGAGCCUCUCUCCUGUUCUGUUUCUCACCUCCCACCUUGCCCGUCUUCUUGCCUCACACUCUUCAUCCUCUCCUCCUCUUCCUCCUCCCUGUCUGCUGUGAAGCCCCAGAGACGCGCCGGUCCCGCCGGGACGCCGGGAAUGAAUAUUAAAGUCCAGUCUCCUCAAGUCAAACUACCGAUUCAGGGGACCGUUUUGUCUGCAGCAGCCUAUGAAAAUAUAAAAGAAAUACUGGAAACUCCUGAUGUUCGUUUUCGUUUAAAUGAAAUAGUGACUCUCAGUUAAUCCCUGUGAAGCAGACAUGGCUUCACAGGAAGUGAAUGACGAGAGCGAUCGAAGAUGUAUGAAAUGUAAAAAUAGAAAUGCAUACGAGUGCGUUGUUUAAUCGUACAUGUGAGUAUCAGUAGGAGAAAAACAUCUGUGUGCAACAAAGAGCUUUUCAGGGCGCUUCAUUCACGGCCCAGAAGAGGACGGCCGGUACAAACCCCUGAUGGAGGAUGAUUGGUGAUGAUUAAUCCAGUUAAGUUGCCGCCUUAAACCCCCCCCCCCCAAAAAAAGAAAAUCAGCCCCCUAGUACCUAAUACCUCCUGAUUGAAGGGUGGAGGCCUUCAGCCGACAAAAGGGGAGACGGAGAGUAAUUAAGGUUUCAGUUCUCCAAACCCAAACUUCCCGAGAGGCGCCGGCACUCUGAACAGAACGGAGGAGAGAUAGCAUUGAAGUGGCUAAAGAUUAGCGAGCGCUACGGACGCACCGCCAGGGACUCGGUCCAGUUGGGGCUUGCCGGCUGUCUGCGCCUCCUCCUGCAGCAGCUUUCCUGUCACAGUCUGACAGCCGCUUGGCAGCCGUCGUCUUCACUCUGGAGCUUUUUGGCCCACGAUGCACCUGGAUAACUUCCAUUCAGCCUCAACUUUAACCCUCUGAGGGCUGGAGGGGGGCGGACUGUGACAUUCCCGCUGACCACCUCUUCCACAAUCCGGGCUCCUUAGCUUCCAUCCUUUAUGCUAAGCUACGCUAACGACGUCCUGAUUAGACAGCUUCUCUCACCUGACUGGUACGUGGCUGCGUACUUAAGCCUCCCAUGCGUUAUGAGGCGCGUAAUUCUGGGAAAUAUGACAAAUGUGUAUGUUGUCAAUUCGAUCGCGGAGCCACGCCCCUCUCAGCACAUCCAGAUGUGCCAGAUGUUGCGAAUGAAAGGAAACGAUCGUAAUGGGGGGGGGGGGGACGUAAGCCAAUACAACAAAUGCAUCUUUAAAUAGAGGAAGUCUUUAUCUCAUGGAGGUCUUCAGGACCGCUUUGGGGCUCCGAGCUCCCUCUGAUGAACGGCUCGCUGGGGACCACAAGCCGUCGGCCCGUCCAUUUGUUCAGCAGACGGGCUUUUUUGUAAAGCUUCCUUCACGUCUGCUGUGGUUAGUUCCAGAGAUCGGUCCUUCUCUCUGACAUUUGCACAAAUGCUAAAGGGCCGCGCUGUUUGCUUUCCUCCGUCAUGAAGGACGAGCGAGUUCUGGCUCGGUGGCAGAGAGCUGGAAAUAUGAAUUCAGCCGGUUUCCCCUCCGCAUCCAGCCGGCCCGGGGAUGAAAUCCAUCCCUCUGUGAUGAGACAAUGAUUUGCUGAGCUCCAUUGUGGCUGCAGAGAGGCAGCAGAAGGGGAAAUUUGCAUGUAAAUGCACGACGAAAUGAUUCUGCAGCAGCAGCGAGGCGGCCUGGCGCUUCUUUUACCUCCUGAUGCAUUUGUCCCGAUGCCACAAGCACACACACACACACACAAAAGACAUUUACAUUUUAGAUUUAUAUUCCACCUCAGGUGACGCCCACAGUCCUCCGACCGAACCCCAGCAGGACGGACUGGAUGCUGAUGAUGGAUGCUGGCUCCGUGUCGUGUUGCAUGUAAAGGUUCGUUUUGAAUAGAAUAUUGACACGUGAUGCUGGAAUCUUGUAGGAAAACGCGUGCAAAAUGGGGAGUAACUAAGAAAUCGUGUUAAUCCUCGUCUUUCAAACGGUAUUGUUCACAGUCUGAGGAGCUUCAGAGGUACGAAACCCCAAAGACAACUUCAGCUGGAGGACCCGAAAAGGUUGUGCUUGAAAGACGUGUGGCACCACCCUCCUCCUCCUCCUCCUCCUCCCUUUGUCAGCCUCCAGCAGGAGUAGACGGCGCGCUCACCUCUCCGAGCCGCCGAGAAGGUCACAGUUUGACGGGCCUCCUUUAAAGCCCCCGUGUCAACGUUUAAUUACACACACCGAGCCCAGCGGCUCCAUCAAGGACAGCUCCGUGAUAAUCAAUGCUCUCAGCCAGUCGCACCCGGCUCGGGGGUCGCUCCGCUAUUAACGGGGGAGCAGAGGAGCACAGCGGGGGGCGGAAACGUGGUGGAGCUCGAGAGGAGGGUAAAGAAGACAGGGAGACGAGAAAAUCCUGACAUGUCCCUAAAAUGUCUCAGAGCGCCUCACGGUGGGUAAUUACCCUCAUUUUCCAUAUUCAUUCCUGUAUUAACUCACCUUAAUGCCAAAAUAUUACAGCCCUAAUCUCGUGCAAAUACGAACCUGUCAUGGCAGCCUUGCGUGGGGGGCAGAAACACGGCUGCCAUGUUGAUUCCAGAAGCCGAGGCUGGAAGGCGGCGGUGACGCUCGGCGCCAAACCUCCCGGAGCUUCCUGUCGAGUAACAAAAAGAAGAUCAUGAAACGUUCACCUGAAGCAGAACUUCACCCACGAGGAGCCGACAUCAGCGACCCUAACCCUCAUAUCCACCGGCCUCCACAAACCGAGGAGGUCUCAGUGGACCCUGCCUCCGCCGGAGGACCUGAAGGAGUCCACGGAGGGGAGAGGAGAUGCAUGUUUACCGGCUACAAGAAAGCUGGUUUGGAAACUUCCACUAAACAGAUAAAAGUACUUUAUCUUCAUAUCAUUUGGUGGUUUCUACUCUUAACAUUCCUUACAUGUUAAUACUAAUAUUAAUACUCAGCAACAGUGUUUGUCCAGCAUGCAGCUCCUCCUGCACGAUUAGAAGUAAAGACUCUUAGAUGAGACGGCCGAGUUUUAUAAAUACAAGUUAUGUUUCAUAACGGACCCGAACAUUAAACGUCCAACAUCAGCUCAUUCAAUCUUCACAUACUGGAGAUUAUUCCUUUAUUCUUGGAUUCAUUUAAAUCCGAACCAAUUAAAGUAAAAGGAGGACGUGGGGAGAGUGGGUCAGAUCCACUGCCCUUACCCGCCAAAAUAAAAGCUCAAAGCUGUGUGUGUGUGUGUGUGUGUGUGUACACAAUGAUCACAAGCGCAGAUGUUUAAGCUUUACAGUUUACAUCAAUCUGCAUUUCUUUUGUGGAUUCUGAAGCCGAUGAGCUGUACUGAUAUUACCCCCAAAGGGACGGGCGUGUGGGGGGGGGGGGGGGUCAAACAGCCGUCUGAUUACACGGGGACAGACGACGGCCAAUCGCGGCGCUCCUUUCCAGCGGCGGUUUAAAAAGGCCUCUUAUAGAUUUUCCCGCUGUGUCGUUACUCUUCAAUCACUGAACUACUUCAUCAAGAGCCAUCAGUCAGAAAGCAGAGCGGCUCGUAAUGACACAGGCCGCUUCCAGCCGCUGAUUCCUCCCAGGAGGGGGCCGGGGGGCCGGGGGGGGCUGGCAGCACCUCCAAAGUGCUGCGAAUUGCAUUUCAGCCACAUGUACCAGGUCAAAGGGCAACGUUUCCUUGCUGUGAUAUCUGGGCAAAUAUUCCUCUGCAUCCUUUUGUGCAAUUUGCUUCAAAACGUCCAACGUCACAAACACAUGAACAUUAAGACGCUUUUCAACGCAGGAAAAGGUGGUUCGUGUUUAAAUACGUGACGGAGCAACCUGACAUCCUGUGAAGGAGGAAGUUUAUUCUGAAAAGGCUCGUAACGUAUGAAGGAGCAUCCGUCCAACGCCAACCGCUCGGGGAAGCCGACAGCGCCGCAGCGUGACGGACAGCCAGGUUCUCGAGGGGGAAAUUAAGAAUUCUUCCAACUUCACCUCAAUUUGCUUCUAAUUAUUGAAGUGAUCAAUAAGCUCGCAGCACUCACACAUACAUGGGAGGGAGAGCGGGAGGGAGGGAUGUAAUGGGGUCAGGCCCGUCUCUGGAGAGGUCAUCAGUGUGCGUGUGCGUGUGCGAGCGCUGCUGACUCAGCAGGUCACGUGACGGCUUGGCCCAAUCCCAGAGCAGCCCACAAAUCAAAACGUCCAACGAAAACACAACGCACAGAUUGUUAAUCACUUACCAAAGGAGGCAGAGAACUGCAGGCGUCAGAGGGGAUUCUGGGUAAUUAGGGUGCAGCACAUUUAGAUCAGCAGCGUCGGGCCCCAAACCGGUCCGGAUGUCCCGAUGGAAACUGGAUCAAGUUUGGAUCCAUUUCAUUCUCACACGUUGGCUGUAAACCACACACGCACACACACACACAAAGGGGGCGGGUCGGGUCGGGGCGGCGAGGAGGCCUCAGGCCGCCCUGCAGGUGAUGCGGCGUCACAUCCAGCCACAGAAACAUGCACGGGAUUAGAUAGGCCACUUAUUCCCGGUUCAGAAGACGAGCAGGACGGAUGACACUUCAGAGGGAGAGAGAGCGCAUCUCCUUGGGGGGACGGGGGGCUUCUUCUAACUUAUUCUGAUGGCGUAUCUUCUGCCCAUCAGUCACGCACAGCUGGUAAUCCUCCACAGAGGAGAAGAACCGGGAGAGAUGGAGGGAGGGGAGUCAGGAAGAUGUGACGACGAGUAUUUACAUUUAGGGCGGAAGUUGUAGCAUGAGGGAUGAAUCCUCGAUGGGAGACGACAUCAUCAGGUUAGUCUGACAGCGAGGAGGGGGGUCGAAGAGGAACCUACCUGCUGCUCUCAGGCUGCGUGAAGCUCAGCAGGUGAUCUGGUCCCAUUAGAGAGCCGGCUUCCCACCUUCCUCACACGCUCCCAGAUGAGACGACGCAGGCUGCUCCCACAUCAGAGCCCGUCAGGAGACCAGGACGAGGGGGUGAAGAUCAGAGGAGGAGGAGGUUCCAAUCAGGAGACCAGGACGAGGGGGUGAAGAUCAGAGGAGGAGGAGGUUCCAAUCAGGAGACCAGGACGAGGGGGUGAAGAUCAGAGGAGGAGGUGCCUAUCAGGAGACCAGGACGAGAGGGUGAAGAUCAGAGGAGGAGGAGGUGCCCAUCAGGAGACGAGGACGAGGGGGUGAAGAUCAGAGGAGGAGGAGGUGCCCAUCAGGAGACGAGGACGAGGGGGUGAAGAUCAGAGGAGGAGGAGGUGCCCAUCAGGAGACGAGGACGAGGGGGUGAAGAUCAGAGGAGGAGGAGGUGCCCAUCAGGAGACCAGGACGAGGGGGCUGAAGAUCAGAGGAGGUGCCCAUCAGGAGACCAGGACGAGGGGGUGAAGAUCAGAGGAGGAGGAGGUGCCCAUCAGGAGAGGACGACAAGGAGGACAUGGAGAUUAGAGGAGGAGGAGGAGAGCAGGUCAGGUGCAGGGAUUCAAAGCUCACAGCGCAAGCUGCUAAUUGUGUGACUUCACUUCCACACCACCUCCCCCCGACCUCCCCCCAGCCUCCCCCCAUAAGCCAAUGGGCCCUUUACAUUACAGCAUCAUCCAACAAGUUAAAGACACGUUCAGGGAAGAGACAAUCAGAUAUGAAAGACGGUUGAUUUCAGAUCCAAAAGACAAAACAAAACUGUGCAGACGAGAACAUUUAAAAACAGUAAAAGUAACAAACACAAACUGAUAUAAAGUCCACUUUGACUUCUUCCUCUGGUGAGGGACCUCGUGUCCACUAAUGGAUCAACAACCAUCUACAGCCGUGCUCACAAAUACCUACAAUAAAAGCUAAAUGAACUCAAGUGUUAUUACCCCCCCCAGCACCCCCCCUUUAUCAUUCUGGUGACGCCGGAGGGCAAUUAAAGCCCCCCCGUCCCCUCCGUGACAGCGGGACAAAUGGAUUUCAGCGCAGUUCAUGAAUUCAAAGAUGAUGAAAUUGCCAAUAAUUGCUUGUGCGUGAGUCAAUGCAGAAAUAUUCUUCUUCAUCAGCGGCUCCGACACGAUGCUCCUCUCCCUCCCUCCCUCCCUUCCUCCUUCCUUACUUCCUCCCUCCCUUCCUCCCUUCCUCCCUACCUCCCUUCCUUCCUUCGCCCUCUCGCAUGGAAACCGCUGCAGAUUGUUUCCUAACGAGCUGCACGCGGAGUGAGACAAGACAUCUGCGUCCGUCUGCGUCCGUCUGACCCUACAACCGGUUACCGCGGCAACCGCGAUAAGCCCCGCUUCCUCCUGACCACCGAGCCACUUACGGACACCUCCAUCAUUAUCCCAAGGUGCUUUUCAAUGAGGAGGGUGUCUGUCUGUCUCCCCUUCUUCUUUAGCACUUUGGAGAGUGUGUGUGUGUGUGUGUGUGUGUGUGUGUGUGUGUGUGUGUGUGUGUGUGUGUGUGUGUGCGCCCAUACAAGUCAAUGAGGUCGUCACUAAAGCUCUGAAUAUCAAAUAGUGCUACAAACGCUCAUCCGGAUGAUGUCACGGGUUUCUAAAGCCACAAUGUGGCUUCUUUCUUAUUUGCAGUCAUCCGAUGGUGCGAACGUGUCGUGUGACCUCGUCUGAUUAAAGCCACCGUCUCUUUGGUUCAGGUGCUUUGAAUGCAGCUUUUGUGGUGAAAUAAAUGUGUUUUUGUGCAUGAUUUGUGAACAUAGAAUCAACCAGAAGCAUCUUCCGUAGAAACAAUAUGUGUUUCACUCAUUCAUUCCCUAAAACAUUACUACGUCUUCUCGGUUGUAAUGUCAAUGUUCAUAAAGCAAAGUCAGCAGUGAUUUUAUUGUGACAUCAUUUUAAUUAUUACAUUACAUUAUUUAACUGACGCUUUUAUCCAAAGCGACUUGCGUUACACUUUAAACUCACGGCUCUUACAUUUUGCCCGGGGAGCAGUUAUGGGUUUGGUGUCUUGCUCAGGGACAUCUGUCUUCAACAUGGGACAUGGAGCAGCCAGGACUCGAACUACCAACCUUGCGGUCCCCGCACACCCUCUCUGCACCUGCGCCACGACGGUUCUUUUGAUAUUUGACAUUUUGACAUUUAAGAUAUACAAAGUGCAGAUUUGCUUUAUAAAAUCAAACGCAAAAGACAGUUUGUUGUCUUUGCAUGAACAGAUGUUCAGAUCAUGAAGCCAGCAGAGUGUUUAUGUAAUAUUUCAAAUGUUAAAACAAUAAAUCGACCCUUAAAUCUUGACAUGAAUUUCUUCUGCGUUGAUUCGGAUCAUCAGACUUCAACUCGAGUCAAUCAUUCAUCGUUUUUUUUUUACCGAUUUAAAGUGUUUCAUUAAUAUUUUAUUGCCAUCAUAAAGAGGCCCACUUUAAUCUGAUUUUAUUUGUAUUCAUAACCUUCAUUACCGUGUUUUUCCUCCCCUGUUUGCUCUGUAAUCUGUGCUCCUCCUCACUGCCGCUGUUAACAAACUAAUUCUCCUUCUGGGCUCAAUAAAAAACUGGAAAGAAAAACCGAUUCAGAUUCCAGAGGCGUCUGAGAGUAGAAAACAACAAAGGAUUAACAUGGCAAACUUCUUCAAAUAUGCUUUGUCCGAUCAGGAAACAGAUCAUGUCCCAGAGUCAGAGGAGAAGCAGAAACAUCUAAAUGUCAUUUGUUUUAUUUGUGAUUCACUGUUUCCCUCUUGAUUCGUUAAUCGACAUCUGACGUGUGAAUGAGCUUCGGUAGAAGCAGCUUCUGAGCCUGAGAGCACCAUCACUCGCCUUCUACGUCACUCAUCUUCAGACGGCCGGGGGGGGGCGGCUCCAUUGGACUGGUCACAUGGAGACACACAAUCACACACCUUUAACCUUUAACCUUUAACCCUCCACCCCAAGAACUAGAGACUAUUUCCCACAGCGCCGAUGCAGCGUGGAGAGAUCUGUCAGCGCGACCCCACGUGAUACGGGACGCACUGCUCAUAUAAGAAUGAUGUAGCUUUACAGCUACGGGGGAACAAAGGGAUGAACCGGUCCUGAAGGGGGGGGGGUCCAUCAGACAAAAUGUCUGUCGCUGUGGAACUGUAAUUGGCCCUCGCAGCAGAGAGCGCGUCCUGCCUGACCCCCAGCGCGCUCUGCUUUCCUGUUUCUUUUAAUGGAGUCUGUCUCCCUUCAUGUGCCCCCCCCCCCUCCUCCUCCCUGACAGCGGCCUGUCUGCGGAUCGCUGGCAGGAAGUGGUGUCAGGAAGCGGUUAGUUUAGCGAGGUGGAGGGAAGGUAGCUGGUGGCGUCCAGGCGGCUGUCAUGAGGCCGAACCCCCCCCCUUCCCCCCACCCGCCCCGGACCCCCUCCUCAGCUCUGGACAUGACAGGGAGGCCGGCGGAGUGUCAGCGGGACGCCCCCCCCCUGUCAUGUCUGUCACGCCCGGCGGUACAGGAAGUCAUGUUACGGAACAGUCGGCCUUUCUAAAAAAGUUUCUUUCACAACCUGCAAGUGAAGGACGUCCCCUCGAUGUCCUCAGACCAGCCCCCCGGCCCCCCGGCCCCCGCAGGCC